GGCGCCCCGGCUCCCCGCGCCCCCGAUCGGGGCCGCCGCCAGUAGUGGCGGCGGCGGAGGCGGGGGCAGCGGCGGCGGCGGCGGCGGAGGCGCC
rnacentral:pre_miRNA from 1 species